UCAUGAUAAGCACACGGUGAAUUUUGUACUAAUUGUAUAGUUCUUGCAUGUAAUGAGCUCUCAAAAUAAUGCUGAUGCUCCUGCUUCUCCUUCUAUUUCUCAUAUAUUCGAAGUUGUUGGAAAGAUUGUAGUUUCCCUAGCAUGUUUAACAUUUGUAGUUAUUUCCUUAUUUAAAUGCAGAUGAAAAAGUAAUUAUCUAGAUGCAUCUAUUCUCUUUUUGGACUAGGGGAGUGUUCCCCGUUUGAAUACCUAACGAACAAAACAUCAGGGAGGGAGUAUUGCUAACAGUGAAGCGUAUUUAUAUUAUCUGUAGGUUGUACCAACUUGAAGAAAUAUUCUGACUGAAAAUAUUUGUAUGUUAAUAUGUAAUAUGGGCCAGAGUCUCCAUGGUUGACACCACCUUCGUUGUUGUACCCAGAUCUGGGCCAAUCAAACCGUGUAACCAUGUGUCAUCCUGGAGGUCUCAAGACGAGGUCGUGCCCUGGAAGCUCUGGAGUUUGGAUAUAAUGGUAAUUACAUGCCUUUUACUUAGAAAUUUCAACUUCAUUUAUUGAUAGUAGUUAUUAUCUUCCAAUGGUUUAUAUGCUUCUAUCACUUGCAGAAUUGGAGCAAUACAAUUAUUAAGCACAUCAGGCCACAAACAGAAAUAAGAACCUUAUCUAUGGUACCUUGACAUUUUUAUCAAUUGCAUUUUCAUCUACGGCGCUGGUGGUCCUAAGCUACCUCGUGUUUCUGGCUACAUUGUUUUUUCUAAUAGAUAUCCGGGUGUGAGAAAAUAGCAGGCGAUAUGGGAGAUUAGGUGCUCCCUUGAUGUGUGCUCCCACGAGCCGUUUUUUUAGGAUAAUAGGGAUUGAAGGCAGUAAUGAACGGUUUGCUUCAAGCUGUACACUAAAUGUGGGGAAGCCACGCAUGAUAUGCCUUUCUGGAAAACAACGCUGGAUAUACCUUUAAAGUUGAUGAAGAUGAUCCGGCUGCAUCAUGUAAAAUUUUGAUACAUCUGCUUCAUAUGUGCAGUUCUUAUUAAUUUCUGCACGAGUUAGUUUGCUACAAAAGGUUGUAUUUUUAUGUGAACUAUGAAUUUUGUUUUUGGUUCAUGUUGUCGGCACGACUAUGGAUGGAUGUAAAUCUUUUGAAAAACAAACAAUAGUUAUAUAUGAAGCAUAUCCAUCUUUUGCAACUUGACAUGUAAAACCUGUGUACAAGAAAGAUCUUUGAAAACUCAGGUCAGGCCAGAGUUAGCUAUAAAGCAUAUCCAUCUUAUUACGACAUGUUUACUACGUACUCCUUCUGUACUUCUCUAACACAAGUACAGACUCAAACUCAUAACACAAGGAUCUGAAUCAAACUUUUGUAAAUCAACAUCAGAUAGGAAAAGAAAAAAAAACUGGUUCAAACGAGUAGGCCAAGCAGCCAACGCCACUUGCAG
rnacentral:lncRNA from 1 species